rnacentral:lncRNA from 1 species
GUUCCUGCUACAGUAUCAAAAGGCAGACACUGGAAGAAGAAAGGGAAAGAGUCUGGGCCAGGAGCUGGGCUGCCGCCGCCCCGAGCUCCUGCCUUGCCCUCUGAGGCCAGGGCUCCUCACGCCAGCUCCCUGACCGCUGCCAAAAGGAGCAAAGCCAAGGCCAAAGGGAAGGAGGUGAAGAAGGAGGUGAGGCUCACCGUGCCCUGGUUGGGGGCUGUGGGGGGCUCAGCCAUGCUCCUGUGGUCAGGGCAGGGGGCUCCACCUGCUGCUCUGUAUUCACCCUCCCUAUAGCUGUGGCUCAGAGAGGUUGCGGGUGACGAGGGUGAUGUGGCCGUCCCCACACUCCAGGGAUAAGGAGAUACUGGGGACUCUGCUCCUGUCCUCAGGAAAUGUCUGCUCUAGCGGGGGCGAGGGACACUGGAACAGACACGAGGAGACCUGGGUGACAGGCCCCCAGCCCAGCACCAGGUCCUCACAGGGCCCUCAGGCUUGGGUGAAUCUGCCCGAGUGGCAGAUGAUGGCAUGUCCACUCCCCACACCUGCUAGCCCCUGCCCGAGUGGUUUUUCCUCAAGCCCAUUGGGUGGAGAUGCUGCUGAAGUUUCUCUAAGAAGGGAACGGAGGCACCUGCCAUAGUGAUGGACAGAGGUAUGGUAGUGAGUACUGAGUGCUGAGUGCUGAUACUGAGCACAGAGUACUGAGUAUUGAGCACUGAGUACUGAGCAUGGGCCAGCUGGGUUUUGGGCCCAUUUCACCUUCCCCCUGGCCUCUGGGGUGUCCCUAACUGGGAUCCCUGCCAUGCACAUGACAGAUUCCCCCUGCGGCCUGACUGUGGCUCCAGGUUUCCAGAGAGGGUCCCCAACCCGGCAGGACCCCUGUUCAGGUCCUAAGUCAUUUGUCGGCCAUGUUCUGUCCCCAGAACCGCGGCAAGGGGGGUGCCGUGAGCAAGCUGAUGGAGAGCAUGGCAGCCGAGGAGGACUUUGAACCCAACCAAGACUCGAGCUUCUCUGAGGACGAGCACCUGCCGCGUGGCGGGGCUGUGGAGCGGCCGCUGACCCCGGCCCCUCGCUCCUGCAUCAUCGACAAGGAUGAGCUGAAGGACGGCCUGCGUGUGCUCAUCCCCAUGGACGACAAGCUGCUGUACGCCGGGCACGUGCAGACCGUGCACUCGCCAGACAUAUACCGCGUGGUGGUGGAGGGUGAGCGGGGCAACCGGCCCCACAUCUACUGUCUGGAGCAGUUGCUGCAGGAGGCGAUCAUCGAUGUGAGGCCAGCCUCCACUCGCUUCUUGCCACAAGGGACCAGGAUUGCAGCCUACUGGAGCCAGCAGUACCGCUGUCUCUACCCAGGCACUGUGGUCCGAGGUGAGAUGCCUCCUCCCCAGCUCUCCCCUGCCGCCUAACAUCUCAGUAUGGACUUGUUUGGCUACUAAAACUCAACUCUAACUGGCUUAAGAAUAAAGACUUGUGGGCUCACAUAACUGAAAACUGUAUGGCCUUCAGGCAUGAUUGGAUCCAGGCACCAUUUAAACGAUGUCAUCAGGACUCCAGCUCUGAGUAUCUGUCAGCAGUGCUGUCAUCUGUGCUGGCUUCACACUAGCUCCUUGGAGACUGUAUUUUACCAUCUUAAGAAAUCUUAUCAUUGGAGGAUUUCUCAGUCUCGGUUUUCCCACACAAGUUCUACUGUGAACUGACUUGGGCCACAUGGUUUUCAUUGAUCCUACCGCUGUGAGUCUGAUUGACCGGGCCUGGGUCAGAUUCUCAUCCCUGGGGCUAAGGAGUGAGGUCACCUCCCUUUUAUUCGUGGGCUGAGAAAGAUGGGAGGGUGGCUUCCCCUGCAGAGUGGACAUGUUGUUAGAAUAAGAGAGAAUGAGGCUGGAUGUGGUGGCUCACGCCUGUAAUCCCAGCACUUUGGGAGGCCGAGGUGGGUGGAUCACUUGAGGUCAGGAGUUCAAGACCAGAUUGGGCAACGUGGUAAAACCCCGUCUCUACUAAAAAUACAAAAAUUAGCUGGGCGUGGUGGCAGGUGCCUGUAAUCCCAGCUACUUGGGAGGCUGAGGCAGGAGAAUCACUCAAACCUGGGAAGUGGAGGUUGCAGUGAGCCAGGAUUGCACCACUGCACUCUAGCCUGGGUGACAGAGUGAGACUGCGUCUCAAAAAAAGAAAAAGAAUGGAGGCUGGAUGGAGAAAAGCAACAGGUACCCUAGGAAAUGUAGGUGUGGAUAUCAGACAGGCAAGAAAGACAGUCAAAUGGUCCAACCCUUAGCUUUUGCAAAAGCAAUGUAUCCUAGAGAGGGGGUAUGGAUGUGGAUUAGACAUACCCCGCCCGUGCAAAAAAAAGCCCACUCAUAUGCCAAAUACAGUCCACUGCUUGGCCUACCAUCCAUUCAUACCCAGAAGAUGGAAGCCAGUGCCAGCUCAGCAAAACAACAGAUGAGUGGUCCAGCCUGAGUAGAGGAUCUCAGGCCAGGAAGACUUAGUUUUUUCCAUCAUAUUAGUCACUCAUUUAUCAUCCAAAUUCUGAAAGUGCUGUUAAUAAGGCAGAAGUUGGCUUUAGAUUCGGAUUUCCUGGCACAUGCUGUCCCCCUGUACUGGGAGGUGCUGGCUGUGUUCUAGGCCUGUCUCAUGGGUAUCAUUCUGGAUUCUUGGGCCUUCCCUGUCCCUCAUCCUGGGAACCGCUUUUGUUGCGUUGCAUGUUUUUCUCUUUUUUGGUUCAGUUCCUUGUUUUAAGCAGUGGAUCUUUCAGUAGCUUUCUGAGGAAGAGUCUGUGGGAGUUAAAUUUCUCACAUCCUUGUAUGUUUGUAAUCGCUUCAUUCUACCCUGAUUUUUUAGAGAUAGCUGAGCUGGGUACCCUUAUUCUUUAGAGAUAGUUGAGCUGGGUAUAAAUUCGUGACUGGAAAUAGUUCCCCUCACCAUUUCAAAGACAUUUUUCUAUUUUUAUCUUGCUUCCCAUGUUGAAGACAUUCAAAAUUGUGAUUCCAAAAUCAUUGUAGGAGACCUGCUUUUUUAUCUCUGGAAACUUUUAGGAUCUUCUCAUUAUCCCUAGAUCUGGAAUUCUGUGUGUGUGUGUGUGUGUGUGUGUGUGUGUGUGUGUGUGUGUGUGUGUGUCUCUAU